GAUGAACGCUAGCGGCAGGCCUAACACAUGCAAGUCGAGGGGCAGCACGGUGUAGCAAUACACUGGUGGCGACCGGCGCACGGGUGCGUAACGCGUAUGCAACCUACCUUUAACAGGGGCAUAACACUGAGAAAUUGGUACUAAUUCCCCAUAACAUUCGAGAAGGCAUCUUCUUGGGUUAAAACUACCGGUGGUUAAAGAUGGGCAUGCGUUGUAUUAGCUAG
rnacentral:rRNA from 1 species